AUUGAACGCUGGCGGCAUGCCUUACACAUGCAAGUCGAACGGCAGCCCGGACUUCGGUCUGGUGGCGAGUGGCGAACGGGUGAGUAAUAUAUCGGAACAUACCUUGUAGUGGGGGAUAACUAUCCGAAAGGAUAGCUAAUACCGCAUACGCUCUAAGGAGGAAAGUGGGGGAUCGCAAGACCUCAUGCUAUAAGAGUGGCCGAUAUCUGAUUAGCUAGUUGGUGAGGUAAAGGCUCACCAAGGCGACGAUCAGUAGCUGGUCUGAGAGGACGACCAGCCACACUGGAACUGAUACACGGUCCAGACUCCUACGGGAGGCAGCAGUGGGGAAUUUUGGACAAUGGGGGCAACCCUGAUCCAGCAAUGCCGCGUGAGUGAAGAAGGCCUUCGGGUUGUAAAGCUCUUUUGUCAGGGAAGAAACGGUUGUGGCUAAUAUCCAUGGCUAAUGACGGUACCUGAAGAAUAAGCACCGGCUAACUACGUGCCAGCCGCCGCCGUAA
rnacentral:rRNA from 1 species